rnacentral:tRNA from 1 species
UGGGCUAUCGCCAAACGGUUAAGGCACAGCACUUUGACUGCUAUAUUUGCUGGUUCGAAUCCAGUUAGCCCAG